rnacentral:rRNA from 1 species
ACGGAAGGCCGCAGUGAGGAAUAUUGGUCAAUGGGCGGAAGCCUGAACCAGCCAAGUCGCGUGAAGGAUGAAGGUAUUAUGUAUUGUAAACUUCUUUAGACGUAGAGAAAUAAGAGGCUCGUGAGCCUUGAUGCCAGUAUACGUAGAAUAAGGAUCGGCUAACUCCGUGCCAGCAGCCGCGGUAAUACGGAGGAUCCGAGCGUUAUCCGGAUUUAUUGGGUUUAAAGGGUGCGCAGGCGGCCCUGUAAGUCAGCGGUUAAAUCGUGGAGCUCAACUCCAUCCCGCCGUUGAUACUGCAGGGCUUGAUUGCGGUCGAGGUUGGCGGAAUUCGCCGUGUAGCGGUGAAAUGCAUAGAUAUGGCGAAGAACUCCGAUUGCGUAGGCAGCUGACCAGGCCGUAAAUGACGCUCAUGCACGAAAGUGCGGGGAUCGAACAGGAUUAGAUACCCUGGUA